rnacentral:rRNA from 1 species
GACGAACGCUGGCGGCGUGCUUAACACAUGCAAGUCGAACGGGGUUAAGGAGCUUGCUUCUUAACUUAGUGGCGAGCGGGUGAGUAACGCGUGAGGAACCUGCCUCUCAGUGGGGGACAACAGUUGGAAACGACUGCUAAUACCGCAUGAAGCCGUAGUACCGCAUGGUACAUCGGUCAAAGAUUUAUUGCUGAGAGAUGGCCUCGCGUCUGAUUAGCUAGUUGGUGGGGUUACGGCCCGCCAAGGCGACGAUCAGUAGCCGGACUAAGAGGUUGACCGGCCACAUUGGGACUGAGAUACGGCCCAG